UACGGAGGGGGCUAGCGUUGUUCGGAAUUACUGGGCGUAAAGCGCACGUAGGCGGCUUUGUAAGUUAGAGGUGAAAGCCCGGGGCUCAACUCCGGAAUUGCCUUUAAGACUGCAUCGCUAGAAUUGUGGAGAGGUGAGUGGAAUUCCGAGUGUAGAGGUGAAAUUCGUAGAUAUUCGGAAGAACACCAGUGGCGAAGGCGACUCACUGGACGCAUAUUGACGCUGAGGUGCGAAAGCGUGGGGAGCGAACAGG
rnacentral:rRNA from 1 species